UAGCUAGUUGGUGGGGUAAGGGCCUACCAAGGCGACGAUCGGUAGCUGGUCUGAGAGGAUGGCCAGCCACACUGGGACUGAGACACGGCCCAGACUCCUACGGGAGGCAGCAGUGGGGAAUAUUGGACAAUGGGGGAAACCCUGAUCCAGCAAUGCCGCGUGUGUGAAGAAGGCCUGAGGGUUGUAAAGCACUUUCAGUGGGGAGGAGAGUUGAUAGGUUAAGAGCCAAUUGACUGGACGUUACCCACAGAAGAAGCACCGGCAAACUCCGUGCCAGCAGCCGCGGUAAUACGGAGGGUGCGAGCGUUAAUCGGAAUUACUGGGCGUAAAGGGUGCGUAGGUGGUUUAAUAAGUUAACUGUGAAAGCCCUGGGCUCAACCUGGGAAAGUCAGUUAAGACUGUUAUGACUCGAGUAUAGGAGAGGGUAGUGGAAUUUCCGGUGUAGCGGUGAAAUGCGUAGAGAUCGGAAGGAACACCAGUGGCGAAGGCGGCUACCUGGCCUAAUACUGACACUGAGGCACGAAAGCGUGAGUAGCAAACAGGAUUAGAUACCCUGGUAGUCCACGCUGUAAACGAUGUCAACUAGCUGUUGGUCAUAUAAAAGUGAUUAGUGGCGC
rnacentral:rRNA from 1 species